rnacentral:rRNA from 1 species
GACGAACGCUGGCGGCGUGCCUAAUACAUGCAAGUAGAACGCACAGUUUAUACUGUAGCUUGCUACACCAUAGACUGUGAGUUGCGAACGGGUGAGUAACGCGUAGGUAACCUGCCUGGUAGCGGGGGAUAACUAUUGGAAACGAUAGCUAAUAGCGCAUAAUAUUAAUUAUUGCAUGAUAAUUAAUUGAAAGGUGCAAUAGCACCACUACCAGAUGGACCUGCGCUGUAUUAGCUAAUAGGUGAGGUAACGGCUCACCUAGGGGGCGAUACAUAACCGACCUUGGGGGGUGGUCGGCACACAUGGGACUGGGAAAAGGCCCAGACUUCUACCGGGGGCCGCCGUAGGGGAACUUUGGCAAUGGAAGAAAGGUUGAACGAGGCACGGCGGGGGAGAGAAGAAGGUUCUCGGAUCGUAAAGCUCUGUUGUAAGCGAAGAAAGGGGGUGAGAGUGGAAAGUUCACGCUGUGACGGUAGCUUACCAGAAAGGGACGGCUAACUACGUG